GACCUCGCAGCUCAGUUGGUAGAGCAUUGGACUAGCAAUCCAAAGGUCGCGGGUUCGAUUCCCACCCCGGUCA